AUUAUCCUUAUCAGGUCAUUUAAAAUUUGUUCUGCCGCGUCACCUUUGUGUCAUUAGGUGGCAGAGAGAAGAGAGACUUGUCUACGCUCGGCGUUCUGGCCUGUGGACGUCUGGAUGAUUGAUAGUCUGACACU
ensembl:snoRNA